AAGAAGAAUGGUCUCAAGUUGCAGUGGGGGAGUCUAGGUUGGAUAUUAGGAAACCCUGUUUCACUGGGAGGGUAGUGAAGCACUGGAAUGGGUUACCUAGGGAGAUGGUGGAAUCUCCUUCCUUUGAGGUUUUUAAGGUCAGGCUUGACAAAGCCCCGGCUGAGAUG